GAUGAACGCUGGCGGCGUGCCUAAUACAUGCAAGUCGAGCGAACAGACGAGGAGCUUGCUCCUCUGACGUUAGCGGCGGACGGGUGAGUAACACGUGGAUAACCUACCUAUAAGACUGGGAUAACUUCGGGAAACCGGAGCUAAUACCGGAUAAUAUAUUGAACCGCAUGGUUCAAUAGUGAAAGACGGUUUUGCUGUCACUUAUAGAUGGAUCCGCGCCGCAUUAGCUAGUUGGUAAGGUAACGGCUUACCAAGGCAACGAUGCGUAGCCGACCUGAGAGGGUGAACGGCCCACCUGGAACUGAAGCACGGUCCCGGAUCCUGCGGGGGGCAGCAGUAGGGAAUCUUCCGCAAUUGGCGAAAGCUUGACGGAGGAACGCCGCGUGGGUGAUGAAAGUCUUCGGAUCGUAAAAAUCUUUUAAUAGGGAAGAACAAAUGGGUAAGUAACUAUGCACGUCUUGACGGUACCUAAUCAGAAAGCCACGGCUAACUUCGGG
rnacentral:rRNA from 1 species